GCCCUGGUAGCUCAGUUGGAUUAGAGCACUUCCCUCCUAAGGAAGGGGUCGCAGGUUCAAGUCCUGCCCAGGGCG
rnacentral:tRNA from 1 species